rnacentral:rRNA from 1 species
AUUGAACGCUGGCGGCAUGCUUUACACAUGCAAGUCGGACGGCAGCACAGAGAAGCUUGCUUCUUGGGUGGCGAGUGGCGAACGGGUGAGUAAUAUAUCGGAACGUACCGAGUAAUGGGGGAUAACUAAUCGAAAGAUUAGCUAAUACCGCAUAUUCUCUGAGGAGGAAAGCAGGGGACCUUCGGGCCUUGCGUUAUUCGAGCGGCCGAUAUCUGAUUAGCUAGUUGGUGGGGUAAAGGCCUACCAAGGCGACGAUCAGUAGCGGGUCUGAGAGGAUGAUCCGCCACACUGGGACUGAGACACGGCCCAGACUCCUACGGGAGGCAGCAGUGGGGAAUUUUGGACAAUGGGCGCAAGCCUGAUCCAGCCAUGCCGCGUGUCUGAAGAAGGCCUUCGGGUUGUAAAGGACUUUUGUCAGGGAAGAAAAGGCUG